AGCGUUCGGGCGUUCGGGCGUUCGGGCGUUCGGGCGUUCGGGCGUUCGGGCGUUCGGGCGUUCGGGCGUUCGGGCGUUCGGGCGUUC
rnacentral:tRNA from 1 species